rnacentral:rRNA from 1 species
UACAGAGGGUGCGAGCGUUAAUCGGAAUUACUGGGCGUAAAGCGUGCGUAGACGGCUAUUUAAGUCGGGCGUGAAAGCCCCGGGCUCAACCUGGGAAUUGCAUUCGAGACUGAAUAGCUAGGGUACGGUAGAGGGAAGCGGAAUUUCCGGUGUAGCGGUGAAAUGCGUAGAUAUCGGAAGGAACAUCAGUGGCGAAAGCGGCUUCCUGGUCCAGCACCGACGUUCAGGCACGAAAGCGUGGGGAGCAAACAGG